UUGGAGGGCAAGUCUGGUGCCAGCAGCCGCGGUAAUUCCAGCUCCAAUAGCGUAUAUUAAAGUUGUUGCAGUUAAAAAGCUCGUAGUUGAACUUCGGGGUCUACCCAUUGGUCAGGCUUAAUUGUCUGUACUGGUGAGAUGGAUCUCUACCUUCUGAGGAACUUUCAUGCCAUUUAUUUGGUGUGGUUGGAAAUCAGGACUGUUACUUUGAAAAAAUUAGAGUGUUUAAAGCAGACUAUCGUCUGAAUACAUUAGCAUGGAAUAAUGAAAUAGGACGGACUGAUUCUAUUUCGUUGGUUUCUAGGAUCACCGUAAUGAUUAAUAGGGAUAGUUGGGGGCAUUAGUAUUCAAUUGUCAGAGGUGAAAUUCUUGGAUUUAUUGAAGACUAACUACUGCGAAAGCAUUUGCCAAGGAUGUUUUCAUUAAUCAAGAACGAAAGUUAGGGGAUCGAAGACGAUCAGACACCGUCGUAGUCUUAACCAUAAACUAUGCCGACUAGGGAUCGGACGAAGUUAAUUUUAUAAUGACGCGUUCGGCGCCUUACGGGAAAC
rnacentral:rRNA from 1 species